rnacentral:rRNA from 1 species
UACGUAGGUGGCGAGCGUUGUCCGGAAUUACUGGGCGUAAAGCGCGCGUAGGCGGUUAUUCAAGUCAGAGGUGAAAGCCCGGGGCUCAACCCCGGAACUGCCUUUGAAACUAGGUAACUAGAAUCUUGGAGAGGUCAGUGGAAUUCCGAGUGUAGAGGUGAAAUUCGUAGAUAUUCGGAAGAACACCAGUGGCGAAGGCGACUGACUGGACAAGUAUUGACGCUGAGGUGCGAAAGCGUGGGGAGCAAACAGG